CCUACGGGUGGCAGCAGUGGGGAAUAUUGCACAAUGGGGGAAACCCUGAUGCAGCGACGCCGCGUGAGUGAAGAAGGCAUUCGUUAUGUAAAACUCUAUCAGCAGGGAAGAAAAUGACGGUACCUGAGUAGGAAGCCCCGGCUAACUACGUGCCAGCAGCCGCGGUAAUACGUAGGGGGCAAGCGUUAUCCGGAUUUACUGGGUGUAAAGGGGGCGUAGACGGCAGUGCAAGUCUGAGGUGAAAGGCGGGGGCUCAACCCCCGGACUGCACUGGAAACUGUAGGGCUGGAGUGCAGGAGAGGUAGGCGGAAUGCCUAGUGUAGCGGUGAAAUGCGUAGAUAUUAGGAGGAACACCAGUGGCGAAGGCGGCUUACUGGACUGUAACUGACGUUGAGGCUCGAAAGCGUGGGGAGCAAACAGGAUUAGAUACCCCAGUAGUC
rnacentral:rRNA from 1 species